GUAGGUGGCAAGCGUUGUCCGGAAUUAUUGGGCGUAAAGCGCGCGCAGGCGGUUCUUUAAGUCUGAUGUGAAAGCCCACGGGCUCAACCGUGGAGGGUCAUUGGAAACUGGAGAACUUGAGUACAGAAGAGGAAAGCGGAAUUCCACGUGUAGCGGUGAAAUGCGUAGAGAUGUGGAGGAACACCAGUGGCGAAGGCGGCUUUCUGGUAUGUAACUGACGCUGAGGCGCGAAAGCGUGGGGAGCAAACAGGAUUAGAUACCCUGGUAGUCCACGCCGUAAACGAUGAGUGCUAAGUGUUAGGGGGUUUCCGCCCCUUAGUGCUGCAGCUAACGCAUUAAGCACUCCGCCUGGGGAGUACGGCCGCAAGGCUG
rnacentral:rRNA from 1 species